AAAAGGCACAAGGCCCAGUCCCGUGGAAGCCGGGACCGCCCCUUCGGGGGCGCGGCGCUUACAGCCACAAAC
rnacentral:ribozyme from 1 species